UGAUGGCCCACAUUCGAAAUAUUCACUUUUUGGAAAUCCAAAUGACCCCUGAAACAUUCAGGUCCGAGUGGUUCUUUACUAAAAAAGCAAAGAACCGAAAGAAGACUUUCCAAAUAUAAGGAAAUUAUGAGAAAUAUUUGUUUAUGUAUGCUGGAAUAGCAUCUUUACUAUCUUUGAAGUUUUUACGCAUAAAAUUAUCUGGUUUUGGGGAGCAUAUUAAACAGAAAUUUCCCCUAUUGCAUUGGAGGGAGGGGUUGUUAUGGGUGGCAAGUCUGUUUAUCUUUUGAUUGGUUUUGGGAUAAUGUUGUCAUCAUGCUGCUGGCAAAGAAAGGCGACAUUACCGUUUCCAGUCACUGAUUGCUGUGAUUUAACAGAUCGAUAGACGAAGGAAACCUCAUGGAUGCUCUUGCACUAUCUUAUCACUUUCUACGUAAUAGAGCUUCCAAUUACUUCAGCUAAUCAUUGAAAGUGGGGAAGAAAAUCAGUCAGUCCCUGUACAAUCUAACGGUUAUGGAGGGAGUAGCAUCUGGAGCAAUAGUUGGCAGUAUUGUCUGCGGUUGAAGGGUAAACAAGUGGCUGUUAGACUUGCUCUCAAAUAUGUAAUGUCAUGGGUAUAUAAGUUACCUGGUGAAUGUUAGCUCAAAUGAAUUGUACUAGUAUAUCUGUUUAUGGCUCCCAUCAUCUUUGAUCAGAUUUGUUACAUUUGCAAGCAGCAUUUUGUUCCAGUAAUGAAAAUGUUCUUAUUUGAUAAUUCAGCCUAUAAAUGUGGUUCUAGUUUCUCAUAAAAAAAGCACUUAUAUACAUGGUCAUUUGUUAAUUUCAGAUAUUGCAGGAAGGUUUGAGUCUAUUUUUGGUCCUUGAAAAUGUCUUGUUCCUGUAAGUUGGGAGUAAAUUCUCCUGUCAGUCUCUCUGAGCCUCAUUAUUGUUAGUCUUUCCAUGGAAUCACAUGCUGUGAAUCAUCCAAAUCCUUCUCCUAUGUUUACAGUCUCAUUAACUGAGGUAUAUGCAUAGAAGGAAACUGGAUGCUGAUUUGGAUGUUCUCACAAUGUGUAGCUGCCGCCUACCUCAAAGUGAUUCCAUUAGGAAGGAGGUACUGCUUUCAUAUUUGAUAAAUUGUGUAUAUUCUAUUAAUGCUAAAUUGAUGUCUUGAUUACUUUAAGCUUGAUAAAGGUUUUAUAUGUUGCAUUAAUUUUACUUGGUGAACCGUAUCUUUUUGUUGUUGAUGUGAUUUUUUGGAUGCUUCGGUCAUACUUAUGAGACAAGCUUUGCAGAGGUACAGCCACAUUCUAAGUGCAGAUGAGCAGAGGUUAUAAUUCUGGCCUCUUUGGACUGAUGUGAAUGGUAAAAAGGUAGAACAUAUGGGAGCAUCCAUGGCAUAUGUUAAUUCUGGCCCUUUGUACUGAUAUGAAAAGUAAAAAAGGUAGAACAUAUGGCAUAUCCACGAGCACUUUAACUACGUUGAAUUGUAUACUUUACCUGUAUGAAGUUUUUUUUGGCAUGGGUUUGUAACAUUUUGUCUUUUAUAAUUAGUUAAAUUAGUAGUUUUAUUUAAUAGCCGACCCCACUUAGUGGGAAAAGGCUUUGUUGUUGUUGUUGUUGAGUAGUUUGUUCCGCUUGCAAUGAUCUUGUUUAGGCAUGCUGCUACUGUUGGCUGAUAGUUCAGGUUUUCUGUCUCUGCAAAAAGUGCAUGGGAUUUGUGUGUUAAUCAGAUGAAAAAUGUGCUGAGGUCCCAACAAUUGCCUGAGAAUGCGUUAUGGAAGUAAUUGGUCAAGCGUAUCAUGCCACAGAGACGCUUGUACAGAUUGCAGUAUUAUUUAUCAUGGCAUGCUUGUGGGUGGUAGUGAUUUCUCAAGUAAUUUUGAAAGAAGUAGGGACAUUGAUCGUACAUCCUCUGAUGCUGGUAGUCAGUCCACGGGUAGGUUAUCUGAAGUGUUGUCGCAGGCAGACAUUUGGCUAGAACGUGCUGAGCUGCUCCAAAGCCUUCUGGGAUCCAGAAUAGCUGCUUCCCUAGAUGAUAUUGCCGAUAAGGAGUCAUCUCCCUGUCUCCAUCAUAGGCUGAUUGUGGAUGAACGGUACAGCAUGGCUGUAUAUACAUGCAAAAAGUGCAGGGUAGAUGGACUUUGGUAGUUAAGUCUGUUGCUUUGUUUAACUGUGUAUUUUUUCUUUGGAAUGAUUAUGUUAUGAA